CCAUCGGUGGUAGUGGUAGAAUGCUCGCCUGCCACGCGGGCGGCCCGGGUUCGAUUCCCGGCCGAUGCA
rnacentral:tRNA from 1 species